rnacentral:rRNA from 1 species
UACGUAGGGGGCAAGCGUUGUCCGGAAUUACUGGGCGUAAAGCGCAUGUAGGCGGAGGGGUGUGUCGAACGUGAAAGGCUGCGGCUCAACCGCAGAGCGCCGUUCGAAACUGCCUUUCUUGAGGGCCGAAGAGGAGAGUGGAAUUCCCGGUGUAGCGGUGAAGUGCGUAGAGAUCGGGAGGAACACCCAUGGCGAAGGCAGCUCUCUGGUCGGUCUCUGACGCUGAGAUGCGAAAGCGUGGGGAGCGAACGGG